CCUACGGGAGGCUGCAGUCGAGAAUCAUUCACAAUGGGGGAAACCCUGAUGGUGCGACGCCGCGUGGGGGAAUGAAGGUCUUCGGAUUGUAAACCCCUGUCAUGUGGGAGCAAAUUAAAAAGAUAGUACCACAAGAGGAAGAGACGGCUAACUCUGUGCCAGCAGCCGCGGUAAUACAGAGGUCUCAAGCGUUGUUCGGAAUCACUGGGCGUAAGGCGUGCGUAGGCUGUUUCGUAAGUCGUGUGUGAAAGGCGCGGGCUCAACCCGCGGACGGCACAUGAUACUGCGAGACUAGAGUAAUGGAGGGGGAACCGGAAUUCUCGGUGUAGCAGUGAAAUGCGUAGAUAUCGAGAGGAACACUCGUGGCGAAGGCGGGUUCCUGGACAGUAACUGACGCUGAGGCACGAAGGCCAGGGGAGCGAAAGGGAUUAGAUACCCGAGUAGUC
rnacentral:rRNA from 1 species